rnacentral:rRNA from 1 species
UACGUAGGGCGCGAGCGUUGUCCGGAAUUACUGGGCGUAAAGAGCACGUAGGCGGCUAUAAAAGUCAGAUGUGAAAAACCUGGGCUCAACCGAGGGUAUGCAUCUGAAACUAAAUAGCUUGAGUCAAGGAGAGGAGAGCGGAAUUCCUGGUGUAGCGGUGAAAUGCGUAGAGAUCAGGAAGAAUACCAGUGGCGAAAGCGGCUCGCUGGACUUGAACUGACGCUGAGGUGCGAAAGCGUGGGGAGCAAACAGG